rnacentral:lncRNA from 1 species
CGGAGACAAGAUGAAUCUGGAUUUUGUGAAGAAGCUAGAGCUGAUAUCGGCUUAGAGAAGAUAUGCCAAGAUUUCGAUCGUCAAAUUGGUGCCCGCGACCAUGAGGGAUGAGAAUCCCAUUCUAACCAUCGAGCCAACGACUUUACUAUCGGAGGCUGUAACGAAGACUCCACUGAAAGAAGCUCACAUUAAGAAGGUACCGACAGAGAGGACACAAGUAGCGGGCAUAGUUGGUCAGCCUCAGGAGGUUCCAACAGUGGUAACGGAGACUGAAAAAUCCUCAG